AGCGAACGCUGGCGGCAGGCUUAACACAUGCAAGUCGAACGGGCGUAGCAAUACGUCAGUGGCAGACGGGUGAGUAACGCGUGGGAACGUACCUUUUGGUUCGGAACAACCCAGGGAAACUUGGGCUAAUACCGGAUAAGCCCUUACGGGGAAAGAUUUAUCGCUGAAAGAUCGGCCCGCGUCUGAUUAGCUUGUUGGUGGGGUAACGGCUAACCAAGGCGACGAUCAGUAGCUGGUCUGAGAGGAUGAUCAGCCACAUUGGGACUGAGACACGGCCCAAACUCCUACGGGAGGCAGCAGUGGGGAAUAUUGGACAAUGGGCGCAAGCCUGAUCCAGCCAUGCCGCGUGAGUGAUGAAGGCCCUAGGGUUGUAAAGCUCUUUUGUGCGGGAAGAUAAUGACGGUACCUGCAGAAAAAGCACCGGCUAACUACGUGCCAGCAGCCGCCGUAAGAC
rnacentral:rRNA from 1 species